rnacentral:rRNA from 1 species
ACACGACUACAUUAGAUACCCGGGUAGUCCUAGCCGUAAACGAUACUCGCUAGGUGUCGGCCACGGUGCGACCGUUGUCGGUGCCGUAGGGAAGCCGUGAAGCGAGCCACCUGGGAAGUACGGGCCGCAAGGCUGAAACUUAAAGGAAUUGGCGGGGGAGCACCACAACGGGUGGAGCUUGCGGUUUAAUUGGAUUCAACGCCGGAAAUCUUACCGGGACCGACAGCAACAUGAAGGCCAGGCUGAAGACUUUGCCGGAUUAGCUG